rnacentral:lncRNA from 1 species
GUUGGUUCAAUGGUGUACAAAGAUGCUCAGAAUACAAGAAAAAUGGAGUUAAAAUAAUCAAUUCAAAUGUGCUAUUUUCUUAAUUCCCAACAUUUCAUGAGGACUGCUUUGUGUGUUGCCGGUCGACCUGGAUUACACUGAAAGAGGAAGCAGCGGCGCACUGUACAUUGGGCUUUACCGCUAACAUUUCAUUGGCAGUGAAAGGAUACAUCAGAGAGGUCCAAUCGCUUCCUGAAGAUCCCCGCUGGGCCAUGGCUGGCAAGAGGAGAAUUCAGCAGGGUAGCUGGUGACAUCUGAGAGUGGGGAACCAAAACUGGCACCAAAAGAGAUAUCUGCAGCCAGAAAUGAGCAGCAGCAGAGCAGCAGAAGGAACCUUUAAAAUGAAGAUCAUGCUGUGCCUGGUAGGAUGCACCUGUGAUUCGAGCACUCCUGCAGGCUAAGGCAGGAAGAUCUCAAGUGCAAGCAUGGGCAAUUUAGCCAAUUGUGAGAUGAAUUCAGUGAAUGACAUGGACUAUGGAGAAAAUAAAAAGGAAUGGGACCCAAAAUGCCAUUAAAUAG